rnacentral:misc_RNA from 1 species
CCCAUGAUAGCCUUAACUCAUUCUAUGAUGUUAGUGCUGGAGAACCUCUUGAAUACACUUUACCUUCAUUAUGGGAUAAGUUAGCGACAUCUUCGAGCUUUAUCCAAAGGACUGAAAUGAUAAAAGAGUUUAAUAGGUGUAAUUUGUGGAGAAAAAGAGGUAUUUCUCGAGUACCUGCUGUACAUGAGGUGAUGUUGAGGCCAACUCCGGGAAAAGUAAGCAUUCUAAGUGAUGGGUCUGUUGUUGUUGAAGUUGGGGGAAUAGAGCUGGGCCAGGGGCUCUGGACAAAGGUAAAACAGAUGGCUGCAUUUGGUCUUGGUUCAAUCAAAUGUGUCGGAGUUGGAGACCUCUUGGACAAAGUGCGAGUCAUAGAAUCCAAUACCUUGAGUUUAAUUCAAGGGGGGUUUACUUCUGGGAGCACUACCUCUGAGUCAAGCUGUGAAGCAGUUAGAAUGUGCUGUAAAACCUUGGUUGACAGACUGACACCUCUAAAGGAAAGGUUGCAAGCGCAAAUAGGUUCUGUAAAAUGGGACAUGCUUAUUCGCCAGGCCUAUUUGGAAGCUGUGAACUUAUCAGCUAGUUCUUUCUUUGUUCCUGACCUUGCUUCAAUGAGAUACCUGAAUUAUGGUGCUGCAGUGAGUGAGGUGGAGGUAGACCUUCUGACAGGACAAACAACAAUUUUGAGAUCAGAUAUUAUAUAUGAUUGUGGACAAAGUCUCAACCCUGCUGUGGAUCUAGGACAGAUUGAAGGAGCUUUUGUCCAAGGAAUUGGGUUUUUCAUGCUUGAAGAAUACACAACAAACUCAGAUGGAUUAGUGGUUGAGGAAGGCACAUGGACAUACAAGAUCCCUACAAUAGACACCAUACCAAAACAGUUUAAUGUGGAAAUAGCUAACAGUGGACAUCACCAAAAUCGUGUUCUGUCGUCAAAAGCUUCUGGUGAGCCACCAUUGCUCUUAGCAGCCUCAGUUCACUGUGCCACAAGAGCUGCUAUUAGAGAUGCUAGACAACAGCUUUAUUCCUGGGGUUGCAUAGACAGUUCCCAUUCAACAUUCAACUUAGAGGUCCCUGCCAACAUGCCUGUUGUGAAGGAGCUCUGUGGGCUCGACAGUGUGGAAAGGUACUUACAGUGGAAAAUGAGCAGCAACUGAACGGUGAAUUCUUUGAUAGCGGAUAGAAAAUUGUUGUUUGUAUAUGCAAACAAAUCAGAAUUGGUACG